CCCGCAGCUCCUGAGGUGCCCAGUAAAAGAGCCCAGCGUUGACAUGUGGAUAUUUGAAAGAAACCAGUGGGCAAGAGAGAGAAGAAUCUGAGGAUGAGUAGGGAAACGGGCAGAAGCUGAGAACAAUGCAGUGAGCUGUUCUGUGCUGAGCCCUGGCAGUGAGUGGUCCCCAAGCCAGGCACCGACUCUACCUUGGAAGACAUUUCCAUGCCCUGAGGGCACUGGUGCAGAAAGGAUGGCAGAGACUAGGACCAGGAAGAAGCGAAGCAGAGCCCCGGGGCAAAGGAGAAACAGCCUCGGCCACUGCAGAACAAGACGCCAGUGGGACCAAGCACCGUCCACGUUUUAAGCCACGUCAGCCC